rnacentral:rRNA from 1 species
GACGAACGCUGGCGGCGUGCUUAACACAUGCAAGUCGAACGGAAAGGCCCUGAUUUUGUGGGGUGCUCGAGUGGCGAACGGGUGAGUAACACGUGAGUAACCUGCCCUUGACUGUGGGAUAACUUCAGGAAACUGGGGCGAAUACCGGAUAGGAGCUCCUGCUGCAUGGUGGUGGUUGGAGAGUUUCGGCGGUUGGGGAUGGACUCGCGGCUUAUCAGCUUGUUGGUGGGGUAGUGGCUUACCAAGGCUUUGACGGGUAGCCGGCCUGAGAGCGUGAACGGCCACAUUGGGACUGAGAUACGGCCCAGAAUCCUACGGGAGGCAGUAGUGGGGAAUAUUGCACAAUGGGCGGAAGCCUGAUGUAGAAACGUCGCGUGCGGGAUGACGGCCUUCGGGUUGUAAACCGCUUUCGACUGUGACGAAGAGUGAGUGACGGUAAUGGGUAAAGAAGCACCGGCUAACUACGUG